rnacentral:rRNA from 1 species
UACAGAGGGUGCAAGCGUUAAUCGGAAUUACUGGGCGUAAAGCGUGCGUAGACGGUUAUGUAAGUCAGGUGUGAAAGCCCCGGGCUCAACCUGGGAAUUGCAUUUGAGACUGCAUAGCUAGGGUGCGGAAGAGGGAAGCGGAAUUUCCGGUGUAGCGGUGAAAUGCGUAGAUAUCAGGAGGAACACCGAUUGCGAAGGCAGCUCGCUGGGACGUUACUGACGCUGAGACGCGAAAGCGUGGGGAGCAAACAGG